ensembl:lncRNA
AUUAGUUGUCUGCAGGCUCCAUCUCAUAUAUUCUUUGAAUUCAGUAAGGUACUGAAACACUACACCAGGGUUUGGCUGGUGAUUUGAGACUACAGCAGAUGUAAUUAGGCUCAGGCAUGCUGAUAGAAAACUCAGGACUGCUCUUACAGUAUGUGUGCACUAUAAAUGAAGCUCCUGUUGUUAUGAAGGAGCCUGUUUUCAGUUUCCUGCCAUUCCUGUUGCAGCACAGCUCAAUUCUGCAGCAGGGAAUCCUUUUAGACAAGGGCGAUAAGAAUUGACUACUAUGGGUUAGCCUGACAUGCUUGUGUAAAGGCCUGGAUACUUUAUUCAUGUGAAUUCCAUCAGAUAUUCAGCACAGAUCAUGUACUCUUACAGAUGAAAACUGCAUAAGUGUUUGAAUAUGAGAACCAUGCCCUGGGAUCUUGUACCUGAAUUGCUGCGGAGACCAGCUUCAGGACAGACUUACUCUGAGGCUUAUUCCUGGACCCACCCGGUACCUGCACCCUCUCAUUGCUCAAGACCAGCCUCGCUGCUCCUGCCCUUCAGCCUUGGGCCAUUGGAACGGUGUGCAAUGGACCGCUGCCGGAUCCUGGUGCAAUCCCCUUUGAGUUCCAACUCCCCAAGAGGAAAAUACAUUGAGAUGUGCUACAUUUCCCAGCAGCCUCCAAGUGAACUCCAAUUGCAGGUGAUGGGGAUGAAGGGCUUCCAGGUUUCCAACAGCACAGUGAGCAGCACAGUUGUAGACUUCCUCUCCCAUUUGAGUUAUUAAUUGUAACUCUCUUUCUUAUUAUUAUCUUUCAUUUUUUUACCAUUUGUAGUAAAUUUGUUG